GCGCGCAUCGGCUGCGCUGACCCAGGGCGCCUCAGGGCGGGAAGGGCCUGUGCAGCCACAGGAGGAUCCAGCCCAGUGCGCUGCAGGUGCCUCAGGACAGAGAGCCAGAGCUGCGUUUCCAGCAGGUUCUGCCGCCCGCGCCGGGGAGACCCUGGGGCCUUUGCAGCUACUUGGCGUCUCCUGAGGGACGAGCGGGACAGAGGCUGCCUUGCCGGGCCGAGUGCUGAGGAGGGGCCUCUGGGGGGCUUCCCCCGGGACACGCUGAUGCAGGCUUGUUUCUGGGGAGAAAUCCUGACCCCAAAUCAGAGGAACUGGAGCCACACUCAGCGGCGACGUAAAUACAGGAACUGCUGACUCUCAGCUCCUCCGAGAAUGGGGAGCUGGGGUCCCACUUUCUGUGUCCUCCUGGAACCGGAGCCUGAGGUGAAAGCACAAACUGCUGUCCACUUAAACAUGCUUGUAUUACUUUUUCAUUGUUUGUUUUUUUCAAUGUUGUAGUACUCGGAACAACUGAAAACCUGACAGGUACCUGGUGUCAUAAACCUUGCAUUAUUUAACAGUUAAAUAUUUACACCUGAAAGAGAAUUUGUUAUAAUUACCCUUUUGUGUCUUCAUCAUACACUCAUCAAUAAUAUCUUUAAAAUGUAA